AUGACAAUUCCUGGUGUGUUUCAGUACCCUCAUCUACUCAAAGAGCAAGUCACACAGUUUCAUUCAGAAGCCAGCAAUGAGAGGAAUUCACAGCAGUGGAGAAUGUGUCCUGUGCUUUCCCACACUCCCAGGAGAUGGAUAAUGAAUUCUCAACAUGCUGUGGAGCUGGAUCGCUACUCAAAGAUGCAGCAACCUUUGUCGAAGGGCUCUUCCUUGCCCUUUGUGGCUCUCCAGCAUGGCAAAGGUGUGGCCAGUAACAAAUGAAAUGUGGGCCAGUGUGUCAUUUCCUGAUUUUCUUUCAAAUUGAGGCCACAAUGUAGAAAGAGACAGCUUGCUUAGCCUACUUGUUACUUAUUAAUCCAAACUGUUUCUUACUGCUUUCUGCUUGUGGCCCAGCAUCCUGACACAGCUCAGGGUGUAGAGUUCAGCAUAGCCUGGUCAUAGCACUGAGCAGGCAUAGGUGGGGCCAGAGGAGCCUACAGGAUGUUGUGGUGAUGCAGAAUGGCUUCCAGAGUGAUCCAGAUCCACCUCCAAGCUGGGUCUCCAAGAAACACCCAUCACUUGGCCAGGGCAUGACACUGAGCUGGAACUGAACAUGAGUUAAUGAGUGAGGGGAUGAAUGACUAGAGUGGGGAGCCUGUCUCUGCACAUGACCUAAACAGGGAAAGCCCUUCUGAGGAGGUGUAUUAGUUAGGGUUCUCUAGAGGAACAAAUUGAUCUAUCAUCUAUCAUAUUUAUCUAUCUGUCUGUCUAUCUAUCUAUCUAUCUAUCUCUUUAUAGGAUAUAAAGGAUUUAUUGGGUAGGCUUAUAGUGGCUGCCUGUGGAACCAGAGGUGGAAGAAGACAACAUGGCCAUCUGUGUGCUGGAGAGUUAGAGAAUCCAGGCAAAGGCUGAAGUCCUGCUGAUCCCUGCAGAGUGUGGGAUAAGUAUGUGCUGGAAGGCUGAGAGUCAGUGCUGGCAGUCUAAAACAACUGGAGAGAAACAUCCAAGGUGGUGGCAAAGAGCUCCCCCAAAGAAGCAAAGGAAAAACUUUCUUCUUUACUUUUUUUUAUCCCAUCUAGGCUGCAAGCCUGUUAUGGUUUGUAUCUAGAUGUUUUCCCCUCCCAAAGCCUCAUGUGGUCACAGGUGGGGCUUUUUAGAGGUGGCUGGAGCUAUAGUAUAUGAUGCUGGGAUCAAGGAUAUGAUGCUGGGAUUGAUUCAGGUUGUGAUGCUAGGAUUAAGGCUGCCUCACCUCGGAUGUGAGAGUUACCUGCCCUAAGGGUGGGCAGCCUGGAUAGGAUAUAAGGGGAAUAAAAGAGUGUCACUGUUUGCCACUUGUUGCUGGCUACUUUUUCACUGCUUUGCUGCCUCUUGGCUGUUAAGAACUGUUUCUGCUUUGUGGUACCCUUCUGCCAUGUCACUGUGCCUUGGAGCCAACGAACAAUGAAAUAAAACCUAUACAAACUGAGCUAAAUAAACCUUUCCUCCUUUAACUUUGAAUGUUGGAUAUUUUCUCUUAGCAAGAAGAAAAGUACUAAGAUAAAGCCUAUUGGUUGGUACCACCCACUCCAGGGUGGGUCUUCCCUUCUCUGUUUGUAGCCUACAUGUCCAUCAUCCAUGAACACCCCAGAAUUUUAUUAAUCUUCAAGAUGGUUCUUACUCAAGUAAGGUUGACAUAUCACAGUAAUGAUCACAGGAGGUGAGUCCUAAUAGGACCAGUUUUCUGGCUUCCAUAAACUGGAAACCCUCACACCUACCUCACAAGGGUUCUGCACAGGUGGUUACAUGCCUGUCACCUGCUUUGCCAGCCUGCUUCCCUGUCACUGCCCUCACUCCUUUUAGGAGGAAUUUUCCUCCCACAGUAGGGAACUUUUUGAGUACAAAACAAGAAACCCAGAGUCUUGUCUUAAUCCUCUGGAAAGUCUGUGAGAAUUAUGAGGUUUAAAACAUUAGUAGGAGCGAGGCUUCAGGCUGGAUUGUAAUCACUGAUGUUGUAGGCAGAGUCUCAUCAUGGUUUUAUCUCAACUUCUCCCUCAGCUAGAUGUUGUCAUCUUGGGCCUCUCUUUGUGAGAGUUAAUGUCCACUGAUACUUAUGGGUGGCUGUAGGUCCAGAGCCCUUCACUACCUCAGUUAUGCCUUUUUGAAUCACUUAAAAUUUUGCCCUUUUGCCCUCCAUAACUGGAGAAUAAAUGGGGAUCCUUCUGGGUUUUCCUUCACUGUCUUCCAAGAUCUGCUGUUUCUUGGGGUUCUGUCUUCUCUCUUGUGUCUUCCUUGGCUUGCAUAUGUUGUCUGUUCUGAGGAACACAUUUUGUCAUGCCUGGGGAAUGGGAGGAAAUGGGAGGUUAGUCAGUGAGAUUUUCUACAUGGGAAAUUCUUCUAAUUCCACAUUCAUCGUAGAUUGAAAAUUAGUUAAAUAUAUAUGUUGGGUUGGAAAGUAUUUUUAGCAGAUGUUUCCCCCUAGAAAUUUGAUGGCCUUGCUCAUUUCUGUUUAAGCUCCAUUUCUCUGUUGCUGAUGAAUAUAUGAAGCCACUGUGAUACUUAAUUGAUUCAUGUAACAUGUAUUUCUCCUCUGGGGGCUAGUGUUAUUUAAUCUCUAUCUUAGUGUUGUAAUAUUCAAAGUGAUUUCCCUCAGUUUGAGUCUUGCCUUAGUCCCUUUUCUCAUCACAGGAACACAAUACUCAACACCCAUAAAUUAAAGAAGCAGAGCUUUAUUUUGGCUCACAUGUACAGCCCACAGUUGGCUGGCUCCAAGGCAGGAUGACAUGGCAGGAGAGAGGUUGCUCAUAUCGGGACUAGGAAGCAGAGAGACAAUGAAGGGAGGAUCUGGGGAUGGAGAUGAACCCUUCCAGGCCACACCCCCAGUGACCCUCCUCUUCUGACCUUAUCCUUACAGCAAAUCAGCUACAAGCCCCGUAAUCUAGUCACCUCCCUCAAGUCCUGUCUGUGAGCACAUAGGCUCGCGGGACAUCUAAACAGUAAGUUUGCACUGAAAAUAUGAUGGAUCCUUUUCAUCCAGAAAUUUCUCUCAGACUUGGGAAAUUUCCCAAUAUUAUUUCAUUGAUUCUUUCCUUAAUUCUUUCCUCCACCAUGUUCUGUGUGAGGAAUACUGUUAUCUGUUCAUUGGACCAAUUCUCAGAAUCUAUUCCACUUUCUGGGAGAUUUCUUCAUUCUACUUCCAAAUCUUCAGUUGAGGUUUCCACAAAAACUGUCCUGGGAAUGUAACUGAGGGGCUCUUACUUGUACAGUACUGAGUGUGGACGGUUCACACAGGAUAAUCUGGCCAGGAAGAGAACACUGGGUGCCUAAGAGAAAAGACAAAACCUGCUAACCAGGCACAAAUUUGGAUUCUGCAGAUGAAUUUCACCUAGUUCCCUUUCCCAUAAAUUACAGAUGGAUAAAACAGGAGUUCAUAUAAAUGUCAAGUUCUAUGAACUGAUUAAGAGGAGUUACUUUCUCUGAAAGGGAAGAGACACAGAAAUUGUUACAAAGUUUUGAUUUAAACAUGGAAUUGUCACAGUCCUGUAAUCUACAUUCACAGCAUCCAGGACAUCCUGCCCAAGGGUAAGGUGUCAGCAGGAUCAGUCCCGUUUGAGGGGUGAGAGAGAAACUGACCAGGCCUCCCUCCCUCCUUGUCAUGUGCUGGUAGUCUUA
ensembl:lincRNA